AUGACUGCCGCUUUCCCACGCCGGCAGCCCCCCUCCCCCCGCGCAUCUUAUGCACAUGCCCUCCUUUCUCCUACUUAUAGCAUGCAAGCCAUGCAUGCACAGGCACUUCGCCUCCCUCCCCCCAAGCGGCUAAACCCAAUGGCCCGUUGCUACCGCUGCUUAGCUCUUGACCACAGGGUGCAUGAGUGCAGGGACCCCGUGAGAUGCCAUCGGUGCUGGCGCGUGGGCCGCACCCAGCAUGGGUGCAUGGCUAUUUUACCCCCUCCCUCGCCAACAACCAUGCCAUCUAACCCGCCAGCCCCCAACCCUAGCGCCCAACCCUUGCCCCUCUCCGUGAGCUCCACCUCUCAGUCCCGACCCCUGCCUUCCCCUGCAGCCAUGGCGGACUUCAUCCUUCUUGACCUCUCCUCCUCCGAGGACGAGCUGCCCAGCCCCAAGCCUCCGCAUCCCCGUCUCGCAUCUUCUCCUUCCCAAACCGAUGCGGCUGAAGCUGAUGGCGACGUCGUCGAGGAGGAAGAGGAUUCGGAGGAAGUCGAGUUUGAAUCGGGGGAGGAAUCCACCGAUUUGGACGCGACUCAAUCCAUUUUUCUCGUUUCCCCUCCUAGGCACCGCCGCAAUUCCUCCAAAGUUUUCAUGUCGUUCACCCCCAUCGAGCACUUCCUAAACCUAGCCUUUGCCAUCGUAAACCCCCUGCACACCUCUCCGUAGGCCUGUAUCCGCCACGCCCUCCACACCGGAGCUGGCAACCCGCCAGUCCUCAUUAGGGCCGCCUCCUACGGGGCCGGUUUGGUCGUCUUUGGCUCGGCCUACGAGCGCGAGAUCUCCAUCCUCAACAGCCCGCUAUCUUGCUUGAUAAACACUGUGAGCCUUGUUCGCCACAAAGACACAGAGAACCGCUUCCUUUUUCGCCUUGGCACAGUCUCUGCCCUCCACAUCGAGGAUUUCCCGCUUGAGUAUUGGUUCACUCCCACUAUCAUCAACUCCAUCGUUCCUUUUGCUUGCCCCAUUCAGAUCGACCCCAUUUGCCUCACCGGUGUGGACUACUCCGUUGUUCUUGUGUCCGUCAAGCGCACCCUCACCGACGUGCCCCACACUAUUCCCGUCCAUGGCUUCUCCAGCCUCAGGGCCAUUGCAUCCGUUCUCGUCGUGCACUACCAUGAGCUUCCGCUGGACCCCGCCUUCGCGGGCCUCGACUCCGACAACAACAACAACGGCGGUGGAGAUGGGGGGGACUCCGACUUCCCCCGCGGGAUGGACCCCAACCUCUCCGCUCCGCCGCCUCCUCCAACGGACGAGGUCCACGACGACCGGGGUCGUGCAGCUGCGGGCGGCCUAAACAUGAUGGAAAACCAUAAGCCACUGGUGUGAAUCGUCCCGCUCACGGCACACCCAAACUCGGUGCAAGUCAAGCUAUUCAAGGGGUUCUACGACGUGCACGUCCAGGGGGCAAACGGCGAGCGCGGGUUCUAUCGCAUCCCGAUGAGCCCGGCGGGCUCGCCGAAGCUUCUCGUCGCGAACAUGGCGGCCUGCUCCAUCGGCUUCAUCGACCGGGUGGCCACGGUGAGCCCUUCCCCCGCACCCUUCACUGACACUGAGAUCAUCUCCCGCGACCUCCAUGGUCGCGACUCCUGUCGGUGUCAGAACCGGCGGAUCUCGGGUAGGGGGUCCCAAUCUAUGCGUCUAAGGACAAUGGUAACAGGAGGCAAGGGACACAAUGUUUACCCAGGUUCGGGCCCUCUCGAUGGAGGUAAAACCCUACUUCCUGCUUGA
rnacentral:rRNA from 1 species